rnacentral:rRNA from 1 species
AUGGCUCAGAUUGAACGCUGGCGGCAGGCCUAACACAUGCAAGUCGAGCGGAAACGAGUUAUCUGAAACCUUCGGGGAACGAUAACGGCGUCGAGCGGCGGACGGGUGAGUAAUGCCUAGGAAAUUGCCCUGGUGUGGGGGAUAACCAUUGGAAACGAUGGCUAAUACCGCAUAAUACCUACGGGUCAAAGAGGGGGACCUUCGGGCCUCUCGCGUCAGGAUAUGCCUAGGUGGGAUUAGCUAGUUGGUGAGGUAAUGGCUCACCAAGGCGACGAUCCCUAGCUGGUCUGAGAGGAUGAUCAGCCACACUGGAACUGAGACACGGUCCAGACUCCUACGGGAGGCAGCAGUGGGGAAUAUUGCACAAUGGGCGCAAGCCUGAUGCAGCCAUGCCGCGUGUGUGAAGAAGGCCUUCGGGUUGUAAAGCACUUUCAGUCGUGAGGAAGGUAGUGUAGUUAAUAGCUGCAUUAUUUGACGUUAGCGACAGAAGAAGCACCGGCUAACUCCGUGC